rnacentral:rRNA from 1 species
AUAAGCGGAGGAAAAGAAACCAACAGGGAUUGCCUUAGUAACGGCGAGUGAAGCGGCAAUAGCUCAAAUUUGAAAUCUGGCUCUUUCAGGGUCCGAGUUGUAAUUUGCAGAGGGCGCUUUGGCGUCGGCAGCAGCCUAAGUUCCUUGGAACAGGUCAUCAUAGAGGGUGAGAAUCCCGUAUGUGGCUGAUUGUCUUCGCCGUGUAAAGCCCCUUCGAUGAGUCGAGUUGUUUGGGAAUGCAGCUCUAAAUGGGAGGUGAAUUUCUUCUAAAGCUAAAUAUUGGCCAGAGACCGAUAGCGCACAAGUAGAGUGAUCGAAAGAUGAAAAGCACUUUGGAAAGAGAGUCAAAAAGCACGUGAAAUUGUUGAAAGGGAAGCGCUUGCAGCCAGACGUGCCCGCAGUUGCUCAUCUGGGGUUCUCCCCAGUGCACUCUUCUGUGGGCAGGCCAGCAUCAGUUCGGGCGGUUGGAGAAAGACCUGUGUCAUGUAGCUGUUCUCGGGCAGUGUUAUAGGGCAGGUGGAAUGCAACCAGCCGGAACUGAGGUCCGCGCAUCUGCUAGGAUGCUGGCGUAAUGGCUGUAAGCGGCCCGUCUUGAAACACGGACCAAGGAGUCUAACAUCUAUGCGAGUGUUUGGGUGUCAAGCCCGAGCGCGUAAUGAAAGUGAACGGAGGUGGGAACCCUUCGGGGCGCACCAUCGACCGAUCCUGAUGUCUUCGGAUGGAUUUGAGUAAGAGCAUAGCUGUUGGGACCCGAAAGAUGGUGAACUAUGCCUGAAUAGGGUGAAGCCAGAGGAAACUCUGGUGGAGGCUCGCAGCGGUUCUGACGUGCAAAUCGAUCGUCAAAUUUGGGCAUAGGGGCGAAAGACUAAUCGAACUAUCUAGUAGCUGGUUCCUGCCGAAGUUUCCCUCAGGAUAGCAGUAACGUUUUCAGUUUUAUGAGGUAAAGCGAAUGAUUAGAGGCCUGGGGGUUGAAACAACCUUCACCUAUUCUCAAACUUUAAAUAUGUAAGAAGUCCUUGUUUCUUAAUU